UAACCUUAGUCAGUUAUGUGAUAAUUAGGAAAAGGUAAGUUACCAUUCCUUUGCCCUGUUAUUUCACAAUACAGUGCCCAGAAGACAGCAGAAAUUGUUCAUUGACAGAGUGCAAUAACAUACACACAUUGACGUAGUAAUUUGCGUAUUCUGACGGUGUCCGGUCUAAGUUGAGGACUCUGAUCAGGAACUAUUGAAGAGGAUUAGGUCUAACAUGAGAGAUUUUGGUGAGACAGUCACAUAACCAACUUAAGCCACUUAAUGCAAUGAUCAGCCAUUGCAAUGCAUGUGCUUCUAGUGCUUGGGUUUGAAUGAAAUCAAAAAGUCAUAAUGUAUCUAGUUUCAGAAACCAACAGAACACAGUGAACUGUCUUGGUCUUGUAAGAAAACAAGACUAUAUCUGACACCGUGAAACGGUAACUGGACCAUUUUUGCUGCUGUGUUUGUUCUUUACUCUUAAAAAUAAAGGUUCCAGAAGAGAAUUUUUGCAGCAAUGCAAACCCAUUUUUUGGUUCCCAAAAGAACCUUACAGUAAACAGUUCUUAAAAGAAACUUUUUUUUUUUUCAUAGUGUGAGGAAUAGGCUAUUUUAGUAAUCUAAAGAACCUUAUUUCCACAAUAAGGAACGUUUUGUACAAUAGUGAAGGUUCCAUGAUUGUCAAAGAUUCUUCAUGGAAUUAUCACUCCCAAUAAAGAACCUUUAUUUAGAACUAGUGUUGAGCAUGUCUUAGACAUAGAGUAUUCAAGUGUGCUCCUUUGUGGACUGAUCAAAGCCAAAUAUUUAAAAUUAUCAGGUGUAUAGAGCAUUCAGUACUAACAUAAGUCUUUAUACUGUAUCAAAUGCAAUUGCUGCUGUCAGCACUAGGCUGAUAUAAUUGUAUCAAUGACUAUACACUCUCAGAAAUAAAGGUAACAGCUGUCACUGGGGCGUGUAUGUGUUUGCCAUGUGUACUGCAGCGCCAACUCACCUGAAAUUGUGGACUUUGAUCUGACUGCAAGAGCCCACAUUUUCUACAUCAACACUGUUCUUGCAACGUCAUGGCUGAUGUUCCAGUUAUUGCACAACAGAAAUGAGUUGCACUUUGCAGUCCUGUACUGAAUGAAAAGUUAACAUUUAAGCCCCUCUGUGGCAUCACCUUAAUUCCAGCAGCCAAUCACUGCGGUGAUUACUGACUCUGCCUUAUCUGGAUCAUUCCUGUUCCUCUUUAUGGGUUAAUGACAUGUUGGGUCAGGCUCGGACAGAGGCACAUAAUUGCUCUCCUCCAGACGUUUAGCAUUUGAAAGGAUUCCUUAACCCCAUUGCCUGUGUUCUUGACAGGUUACGGCCAAUAUUCUCCAUAAAAUAUAUGUAAACACAACACAUGCACAUCAAAGAUAAUAAAUGAAUUUAAUAUAAUGUUCAGGGAAAAUCAUCUUUUUAAGUUAAGCAAUCAGUCAUAGGAUGCAAUUCACACAAUAGAUGACUACAGUAUAUAUGUAAGGAAAGAUAUUUAAAUCUUAAAGGCUGAACUUAUUGAAAUAAAGAGUGUAGGAAGUAUUUUGGCAUAAUCUAUUAAUAGAUUAUUAUUAAUAAAUAGUGAACGGUACAUUUUGUUUCAUAAUUUAAGGACAAAUCUAAAAAAUAGUGUCAAAACCUACCUUCAGGAAGCAAUAUGGUUGAACCUCAUGACUCUGAAGAUCAUUGCUUUAUUAAUAUUAUUUUUACAUAACAAAUAUAGCAAAUUUUGACUUUUAACACCUGAAAGCCUGAAAAAAAAAAUUUCACCUGAAAUUUGUUCAUCUCAGAUAGAGUAACCUUAGUAAACUUCUUG
rnacentral:lncRNA from 1 species